GACGAACGCUGGCGGCGUGCCUAAUACAUGCAAGUAGGACGCACAGUUUAUACCGUAGCUUGCUACACCAUAGACUGUGAGUUGCGAACGGGUGAGUAACGCGUAGGUAACCUGCCUAUUAGAGGGGGAUAACUAUUGGAAACGAUAGCUAAUACCGCAUAACAGUAUGUAACACAUGUUAGAUGCUUGAAAGAUGCAAUUGCAUCGCUAGUAGAUGGACCUGCGUUGUAUUAGCUAGUAGGUAGGGUAAUGGCCUACCUAGGCGACGAUACAUAGCCGACCUGAGAGGGUGAUCGGCCACACUGGGACUGAGACACGGCCCAGACUCCUACGGGAGGCAGCAGUAGGGAAUCUUCGGCAAUGGGGGGAACCCUGACCGAGCAACGCCGCGUGAGUGAAGAAGGUUUUCGGAUCGUAAAGCUCUGUUGUUAAGGAAGAACGAGUGUGAAAAUGGAAAGUUCAUACUGUGACGGUACUUAACCAGAAGGGGACGGCUAACUACGUGCCAGCAGCCGCGGUAAUACGUAGGUCCCGAGCGUUGUCCGGAUUUAUUGGGCGUAAAGCGAGCGCAGGCGGUUAGAAAAGUCUGAAGUGAAAGGCAGUGGCUCAACCAUUGUAGGCUUUGGAAACUGUUUAACUUGAGUGCAGAGGGGGAGAGUGGAAUUCCAUGUGUAGCGGUGAAAUGCGUAGAUAUAUGGAGGAACACCGGUGGCGAAAGCGGCUCUCUGGUCUGUAACUGACGCUGAGGCUCGAAAGCGUGGGGAGCGAACAGG
rnacentral:rRNA from 1 species